rnacentral:misc_RNA from 1 species
GAAAAAAAAACCGACUCCACAACAAUCUGUUACAAUAUUGCAAAACAAGUUCAGAACUAGAGUAAACCAUAAAUGCCAAACAUCAGACUCCGAAAUCAAGUCAAACAGACUCUGAAAAAUAUAAAUAAAAUGUUACUAGACGUCCUUAUUAAUUUCACUCUACUUAGCUUCCAAGAGGCUCUCAAUCAGGUCAGCAGCAUCCUGCACUGUGGCAAUGCUCUGUGCAUUGUCCUCUUCUACCGUGAUCUCAAAAGCCUCCUCAAGACCCAUCACAAUCUCAACCGUGUCAAGAGAAUCGGCCCCAAAAUCUGAAAACUUGGAUUCACCAGUAACAGGAGUAUCGUCUUUUAGAGCCAACUGUUUCCUCACUAUCUCGCAUACCUUCUGCACAGUCUCGACUUUGGCAGCACAGGAAACGCGGAAGCGCUGUGACCGAAGUGAUGGAAAGUUUUUCCUCUGAUUGUUGAAAGAGACUGUUUUCAAACCAGAAAAGCCUUUAACAACCUGGCUCUGGCGAGAGGCGCAGGGGCAGGCGGAGGUGAAGACCGCCGAUCCGGUGAGGGACGCCAUGGAUCGGAGCGAGAAGGGAGCGGGGAGAGAUCUGAGGAAAUGGGGGAGAGAUCGGAUCUGAG